UCCCUCACUUCCCCCUGCUUGCCCAGGGGAAAUGACUGGUUAGCCAAUGACCGGUAAGACUCCUCAAGGGUGGGACAACCUAAGACAGGCACAGUCACAUUGGGCCAUCAGGGAAGGACUUAGGGGUCUAUAGAGAAGGGGCAGAAAUACCCUCACCCCUUGGCUGUGUCUUAGCCUGAGUCUUCAUUCUUUCUGUAAAAUCUCCUAUUCUCUUGGCUGCUUUGUUCUCUCAGGCUGACUCAGCCUGGAACAAUGCCAGAGGCAGCUGCAGCCUUGUACUGGAACGGACAGCUCCUGUGGGUGAAUCUGGCCAGAGAAAGAAUAUACAUUGUUUCCUUUGAGGCUUGCUCCACCCUGUUGCUAUGAAACAGACACUUGAGCUAAAGCCAACACUGACCAGAGACAAUCACCUGUAUUUCUUCAACUAUUACCUGUAAAUGAUGUCAGUUUUUCAUGACUGUAGCUUUUUGGACAUUGGUUGAUGAGCUUUUCAUGCAUACCAUGUAUCUCUGUGUGAGCUGAACUCAAUAAACUCAAGUAGGGAAAGA